GUGGGGAAUUUUGGACAAUGGGCGCAAGCCUGAUCCAGCAAUGCCGCGUGCAGGAAGAAGGCCUUCGGGUUGUAAACUGCUUUUGUACGGAACGAAAAGGCUCUGGUUAAUACCUGGGGCUCAUGACGGUACCGUAAGAAUAAGCACCGGCUAACUACGUGUCAGCAGCCGCGGUAAUACGUAGGGUGCAAGCGUUAAUCGGAAUUACUGGGCGUAAAGCGUGCGCAGGCGGUUUUGUAAGACAGAGGUGAAAUCCCCGGGCUCAACCUGGGAAUUGCCUUGGUGACUGCAAGGCUGGAGUGCGGCAGAGGGGGAUGGAAUUCCGCGUGUAGCAGUGAAAUGCGUAGAUAUGCGGAGGAACACCGAUGGCGAAGGCAAUCCCCUGGGCCUGCACUGACGCUCAUGCACGAAAGCGUGGGGAGCAAACAGGAUUAGAUACCCGAGUAGUC
rnacentral:rRNA from 1 species